rnacentral:rRNA from 1 species
UACGUAGGGGGCUAGCGUUGUCCGGAUUUAUUGGGCGUAAAGAGCGUGUAGGCGGCCUGGUAGGUCUGCUGUGAAAACUCGAGGCUCAACCUCGAGAUGUCGGCGGAAACCAUCUGGCUAGAGUCCGGAAGAGGAGAGUGGAAUUCCUGGUGUAGCGGUGAAAUGCGCAGAUAUCGGGAAGAACACCCGUGGCGAAGGCGGUUCUCUGGGACGGUACUGACGCUGAGACGCGAAAGCGUGGGGAGCGAACAGG